rnacentral:lncRNA from 1 species
GGGACCCUACAUUCCAUUCUGCUCUUAGGAGGGAGGAUUGGUCCAGGACAGUUCUACGCAUUUACUUGGCAAACAAAGAAGCAGGAGGCACUGUGUGGGGCUGAUUCCUCAAGAGGAAGGUAAGCUCCUGUUUUUAUUCACCAGGGCACCCA